UUUGGGGAAGUUUCUCGGGUGGCAUGGGUUUCGCUCCCUUGUCAUGUAAUGCCAGCCGCCCCAGGAACAGGAGGGGUGCCGGGUCCCUUCCGCAUGCUUGGUAUUUCGAGGGUCUGAUCGCUGCCGCUCUCAGGCACCUGUCUUUCCGUCCCAGAAUGGAGCCAAGACAAGGCAAUUAAGGAAAUUCAAUAGUACACGGAGAUCGGGUGUCUGGGCAGCGUCUUGGAUAAAACCGUCCACUACAGGCCUAUUAUGCCCUUAUAAAACAACUCACCAGCAUCCAGAAGUUUCCUCACACGCAAAUAGCUGAUGUUCUAAGCCCUGAACAUGAUGAAGAUUCUGGAAAUGAUGACAAAGGAGAAGCCCUCCUGAAGCAAGAGUCUCUGUUCUCUACCUAUACUAAUCCAUCCUAUGCAAUAUUACCAAAUAAAUUUUCCCAAGUAACCCUC